rnacentral:rRNA from 1 species
UACAGAGGUCUCAAGCGUUGUUCGGAUUCACUGGGCGUAAAGGGUGCGUAGGCGGUCGGAUAAGUCUGAUGUGAAAUCUUCGAGCUCAACUCGGAAACUGCAUCGGAAACUAUUCGGCUAGAGGAUUGGAGGGGAGACUGGAAUUCUCGGUGUAGCAGUGAAAUGCGUAGAUAUCGAGAGGAACACCAGUGGCGAAGGCGAGUCUCUGGACAAUUCCUGACGCUGAGGCACGAAAGCUAGGGGAGCAAACAGG